rnacentral:lncRNA from 10 species
GCAGGGGCAACCUGCUCAGGUCCCCUUCCACACUGUGCAAGCUUUGUUCUUUUGCUCUUCACAUUAAAUCUUGCUGCUGCUCACUCUUUGGGUCCAUGCCAUCUUUAAGAGCUGUAACACUCACCGCGAAGGUCCGCGGCUCCAUUCUUGAAGUCAGCAAGACCACGAACCCACCAGAAGGAACCAGCUACGGACACAAAACUUCAUAUAAGUAAGAUUUCAGAGCCAAGGAAAUUUUUUUGAGCUAUUGACAUCUUUUAACAAGUUACUAUACUCCUAUGAACAAAAUUUGGAACAUAUUUGUUUCUCUCUAC